rnacentral:tRNA from 1 species
AUUUAUUUAGUAUAAUUAAUUAUUACACUUAAUUUCCAAUUAAAAAAUUUAAAAAACUUAAAAUAAAUA